rnacentral:rRNA from 1 species
AUUCGUUCUCGUUAGAUCACCGAAGUCAAGCAUCAUUGGGCGCGGUCAGUACUUGCGUGGGGACCACCUGGGAACACCGCGUGCCGUU